rnacentral:rRNA from 1 species
UUUAUGGAGAGUUUGAUCCUGGCUCAGGAUGAACGCUGGCGGCGUGCCUAAUACAUGCAAGUCGAGCGAACGGACGAGAAGCUUGCUUCUCUGAUGUUAGCGGCGGACGGGUGAGUAACACGUGGAUAACCUACCUAUAAGACUGGGAUAACUUCGGGAAACCGGAGCUAAUACCGGAUAAUAUUUUGAACCGCAUGGUUCAAAAGUGAAAGACGGUCUUGCUGUCACUUAUAGAUGGAUCCGCGCUGCA